AACGUGAAAAUAAGGUCAAAAACAUCACUUCAAAACGUUGUGGGAAGGGCAAUGUUUUCUACUGAAUCCGUCUGAACCAUGUUAAUGUUAGUUCGUUUGUUUGAAAAAAAAUUUUGACUAACAAUUGUUUGAUAAUGACUUGUAAAUUUCCUUACACAUGUCGAAAAUAUUAAAAAAAAAAAAAAAAACACACACAGAGUAAAAUUUCGAGUAUAAGAUUGUAACACCUUCAUUUCAUCUUAUCUAUCCCAUCUUUCAACGACAACAAGUCCUUCCAGCAAUUCCCAGUGAGUAAGUGAAGAAAAAUUACACAUCGCAAUUUUAACCGAAUGAGGAAGUUGGUUGUUGCUGAUAACGGAUGAAAUGACUACGGUGUAAAGCAUUAUUGGGUGAAGCGAAGAAAAUUAAAUGUUUGAUGUUGCAACACUCUUUAGUAGCAAAAAGAUGCACCGAGCUCCCUAGCCUGGCGAAAUUAGACAGUGCAAAAGAAAAAAAACGCAAUUUGGAUACCACUGAUUUUUGAAAGUGUGUAAUAAUUCGUUACAAAAGGCUAAUUCAUCAUUUAGACAUAUUUUUCUGAGCCCAAUUCCUCUUGUGCUAAAAUUUGCCUCGUGGGUAAAAAUGCGCUCUCUAAAUCGUAGCGGCUAAACCGGUCUUUAAAGCAGCAAUCGCAAUUGGAUAUUGACAGAAUAGCAAAAUUCACAUGUGAAAUUGUAUGAACCUUCUAAAAUAAUCAUCAGUAGGAUUAGGAACGUUGCUCGUAUAUUGUUUGCAUCAAGUUGAAUGGUUCAGACGAGUGAGAGACGUCAAUUCAAACUAUUAAAAACAUUUAAAGAUUAAAAUGGAAAAUGUUUAAAUGCUUCUUCUUUUGUAGCUUAAAAAAAAAGGAGAAAAAAAGUUUAGAGCUAAAUUGCUCCCACCUGUCAGAAAAAAUUUAUAACAAGACAGAAUGAAUAGAUGAAUAAUACGAUUAUGAGAAAUUGAACCAAA